rnacentral:rRNA from 1 species
CCUACGGGAGGCAGCAGUAGGGAAUCUUCCACAAUGGGCGAAAGCCUGAUGGAGCAACGCCGCGUGGGUGAAGAAGGUCUUCGGAUCGUAAAACCCUGUUGUUAGAGAAGAACGUGCGUGAGAGUAACUGUUCACGUUUCGACGGUAUCUAACCAGAAAGCCACGGCUAACUACGUGCCAGCAGCCGCGGUCAUACGUAGGUGGCAAGCGUUAUCCGGAUUUAUUGGGCGUAAAGGGAACGCAGGCGGUCUUGUAAGUCUGAUGUGAAAUCCUUCGGCUUAACCGGAGUAGUGCAUUGGAAACUGGGAGACUUGAGUGCAGAAGAGGAGAGUGGAACUCCAUGUGUAGCGGUGAAAUGCGUAGAUAUAUGGAAGAACACCAGUGGCGAAAGCGGCUCUCUGGUCUGUAACUGACGCUGAGGUUCGAAAGCGUGGGUAGCAAACAGGAUUAGAUACCCCAGUAGUC